CCAUCAAAAGAGAAACCAAGAUCUCUCUCUGGUGAUGACCUUGGUGAUUCCUUCUCUGUCGAUGAAGAAACUAUGACUAAAAAGGGUUGGGUUGAUGAGAUUCUUGAGAGAAGAGACGAGGAGGAGGGUUCUUCUAGUGAAGAUGAUGAUGGUGAAGAUGAUGAUGAUUUGGAAAGGUCUGAAGAUUCUGAUGAAGAAUCAGAGGAUGAUCUUGAUGAAAACGAUAAGAAUACUACUUUGAAAGAUUGGGAACAGAGUGAUGAUGAUGAUAUCAGUGCAGGUUCAGAAGAUGAAGAUGAUAUCAGUGUUGGUUCAGAAGACGAAGAUGAGGACGAAGAAAGAGCUGCGGAAGAAGUUGAUAAGGUAAAAGGAUUGAAUGUUGGUAUUCAUAAAAAAGCAAAGAGAAAUGAUUCUGUUGAAAGUGUAAAGGGAAAUAAUGGUUCUUUAGAUACCAAGAAGAUAGUCGUUGGAGGGAAAAUGUCGAAAGAGUUAGAGAUUCCUUAUAUAAUUGAAGCUCCGAAGACCUUUGAAGAAUUAUGUUCACUAGUGGAUAAACGUUCAAAUUCUGACACUAUCUUAAUCAUCAAUCGGAUUCGGAAAAGCAAUCCAAUCACACUUGCUGCAGAAAAUCGAAAGAAAGUACAAGUAAGAAACUUAUCUUUAUAUUAACUAUUUGUUUUGAUUCAAAUCUCCAUGGUGCUUGUAUUCAUGUUUACUGAAUCCACUGACUGUUUUACCCGAGUUUUAACUGUUAUAUUAAACUUUUAUGUGGUAUGUUGGCAAUCAUUGAAAAUUCGAUAUUUCAAUUUCUAAAAUUGCUUCCCUCAGCUCAACUGUGCAAACGUAGGGUCUUACUAGUGUCAUGCUUUGUUCUUUGAAUGAAACCCUAGUUUGCGGAUUACUUUGUUCGUCAAAGUCAAACUAUAUUCUAUGUACGAUUUUGCUGGUGCUACAAUUAUUCCCUAUAGGAGACUGAUUACUGUUGCUUCAUACCUACUGCCCUACAAGACUUGUAGAAAUUGAGAGAAAAAAGAAUUGGUUAACAGAUAUGAUACACAGCUAACAGGGGGCUGCUCCCCUGUUUUUUUUUUUCUUUUUCUAGGAGACUGCUCCCCUAGUUAACAACCAAUAAAAUACAAGAAAACAUUUUGUAAUAAAGAACAUCUGAAUAAUCCCAUUAUAUAGCACCCAAAACUAAUCAAAACAAGUUCUAACUCAUUAGAUUGAUAUAACCUAGUUAAUAGAGGUUGGUUAUGUUGUCAUUGAUGUAUUGCAAGGUUUAAUUUGAAAUGUUCAUGGUGUGUAAAGAAAUAUGUAGAAAGCACGUGCCUGUGGUUGUUUGCAUUCUUUGUAGCCCAAUCCAGUUUGCAAUACUCAGAUUUAAUAGACUAUUUUGCUUAGUUGGUUAAUGAACGACUCUCUUACAUCCUGUUCCCAAAUAUUUUAUGAGGAACUUGUGCUCAUGAUUAUUGUACUUCUAAUUAAAUGUACUAAUAACCCUACUUCUCUUUGCAGGUAUUUUAUGGAGUAUUAUUGCAGUACUUUGCUGUUUUGGCAAAUAAGAAACCAUUGAACGUUGAAUUGAUUAACAUGCUGGUGAAACCAUUGAUAGAGAUGAGUACGGAAAUCCCAUACUUCGCUGCAAUAUGUGCUCGUCGCAGAAUAGAAAUCACUAGAAAGCAAUUUGUUGAGAGUAUAAAAAACGCAGGUCAGAAUGAAAUUAACUUGAAUGCUUUCCGUCUCUGUCUUAACUUUUAUCAAGAACUAUGAAUUGGUAGAUAUUUAAGCAGCAAAUGAUGUAAAAUUCUUCUGCUAUCACAGAAAGUAGCAGUUGGCCUUCUUCAAAGACGAUGUGUCUCUUGCGAUUGUGGUCCAUGGUAUUUCCAUGUUCUGAUUUUAGACAUCCAGUUAUGACUCCUGUGAUACUAUUGAUGUGCGAAUAUCUGAUGCGUUGCCCAAUAACAUCUGGCCGUGAUAUUGCCGUUGGUUCUUUCUUAUGUUCUAUGCUUCUCUCUGUAAGUUACCUUGUGUGGCAAGUUACUUUCUCGUUUUUUACUUUUAAAUUUUUUAUAGGCCAAAUAUCUCCCGCGGUCCUUUAAAUUCGACGUUUAUAACAAAUGUCCUUUAAGUUUUUUGUUACAAAUUGGUCCUUUUAAGUUUUUUCUGUUACAAAUUAGUCCUUCAAGUCGUAUAAUAUUUACACUAUUACCCAUUUUUUCAACCAACUUCGUUAAAUAGUGCUUAUGGAUCAUUUAACAUUAAGGUGGUAGUUCUAAAUGUGCUUUCCUUAUUAAUUACCCAUUUUUUCAACCAACUUCGUUAAAUAGUGCUUAUGGAUCAUUUAACAUUAAGGUGGUAGUUCUAAAUGUGCUUUCCUUAUUAAACAUGAUUACCUACGCACAUUUUAUUCUUCUAGUUUUUGAAUUCAACCCUAAUUUUACAUAUAAAUAUUUCAUCAAUAGUAUUAUAAAUCAAGUGUUUGAUCAAUUUUGUUUCAAAUCAAGACUGUAUAUUACACCUAUGAACCCUAGUGUUGAGAGCGAUGAGUUUGGACAUACCAACUUAAGAUUAAACGUCCACAUGCACACUUUUUAACUGGGUUUGAUGAAAAUAUGAUAAUGGUGCAGAUAUUUUAUGAUUUAAAAGGACCAAUUUGUAACAACAAAAAAACUUAAAGGACUAAUUUAUUAUAAACAUCUAACUUAAAGGACUGCAUAUGGUAUUUGGCCUUUUUUAUGUUUUCACCAUUCACCAAUAAGGAUCUGAUGAAAGCAUGUCUGAUUUCUACCAUGAAAAAGUGGCAUCCUACCAAUUGUUUAUGUAAAUCUAUAAGCUUGAUUUGUUUCUACUAAUGAGUUUAGCCUUUGGUCUCUGCUUUCUAAGAUAUUUUUUUAUUGGGGAUUAAAUCUGCUUUCUAAGAUGUUCACUAUAUAGCCUUUGGCCUAUGUUUUUCAUCGAUGGCAUUUACAUACCUUGCUCACGCAAUGAAUAUAAAACACAGGUAUUUAAAGAGUCACGAAAGUUCUGUCCUGAACCAAUAGUAUUUAUUCAAACUUUGCUGCUAGCAACCACUGAAAGUAAACAUAUAUCAUGCGAAAAUUCUCAGGUAUGAUUUUGUCAUUGAUCAUUUGCAGUUCAAAUCAUAUUUUUGUGUGUGUACGUUCUUGUUUGUGUGCAUGCACAUAUGUUUGUAUUUAUUUAUGUAUGGUGUAUACUAACCUCCUCAUUUGUGUGUUAGCGUCUUCCACACUUAGUUGGAUGAGAUAACACUUUGAUAUUUCAUAGAAAAUCAAAUUCCUCAACACUAGUGCUAAUCACUGUUGUCGAACAAAUUGGUGUUGCUUGGUGAGAAAUGUCAAUCAUUCUACUUGUAUAUUCUACUAACCUAUACUAGUACUAUAAAAAUUAAAAAUAGCCAGUAGAAAAAGAAAAUGCUGUUUACGGAAACAAAUAAUGAGGAAAGGUGCAUGAUCUUUAUGUGGCAAAAAUAUCCUCUUUGAUUUGCUUGCUGAAUUCUCAUUUGUACCUGAUCUCUGCUUAACCUACGUCUCUUAUGGAAAUUUUGCUAAGGAGAAACUAAUUGCUGAAAAAGGGGAGCAGAGGCAGGGUGUGCAAGGUUUAAAUGGGAUAAGAUUUUAGAAUAUUAAAUAGGGUUAUUUUUUUGCAAUUUGGUUUUGAAGAAAUGAUAAAUAUCAAACUAAUUUGGUUUUAUAAACAUAAUAUUAAUGAUAUGGACUUCUGGUCAUAUGAUGAAUUUUAUAAUAAGUUCAUUCUACAAAACUUAUUGACUUUGAAUGAUGUAUCUUUGAAAGUUGAUUCAACUUUUCUUUUGCCAGUGUAUUCUAUAUUGAUUUUUUACACUUCGCUGUAGCCAAGAUCUCACUCGUAAUAUUCAAAAAACUGUUCCAAAUAUACAACCUAAUUAACUUUUACUCCUACAAAUUGUGUUUUCAUUAGAUGGAGUGAUGUCCUUAAAAAAAAGGAUGAAGUGAUGAAUUUUUCAUAAAAACCUCUCUUUGGAUGAAAAACAGUGUAUCCUACCUUUAAUGUUGUUUUGAAAAGUGCAAAUCUGUCUAUGCAUUUCCCUUAAAAUACAGAUAAGAUAUUUCUUUGCCUGUAGUCUGUACCUUAGUUCACAAAUAACUCUUCGCUUUCUUGUGUUUGAGAUUGAUAUGUGUGAAGGUUUGCUCGAGUAAUUCUGUAACCUUAGCUAGUUCCUGGAUGAUAUAUAAUAUCAUGCAUAUGGUGCUGUACUUCAUGAUGGCACCAGAAUGUUAUGGUUGGAUAAUGAGUGACCAUAUUGUUGAGUGACCAGAUUGUUUGUUUCUGUCAGUUAUAUCAUCUUAUGGAACUGAAAGAUCUCAAGCCACUAUUGCGCAUUAAUGAGGAAGUAGACAAGAUUAGCGCUUUGAAUUUCUUUAAGUUAAUAGACAUGCCUGAAGACUCUCCAUUCUUCACUACGGACAGUUUCAGGUAAACCAAUUUAUUACCACUUUUUUUGCAAGAAAAAUGUUACCACCAUGAUAUUUUGUAGUCAAUCUUCGUAUUUGAAUUUUAACAAAGAAAAUAGCAGCGGGGUAUUGUAUUAUCUUGAGUUGUACUAUCAAGAGCCUGCCAUUUAUAUUUGUUAUCAUAGCUAUGAUCUUAUAACUGAUAUGGAUGCAUAUAAUGUUGAGGCUUAUCUUUAGAGCAUUGAUCGNAUUGUUUGAUCGAUCGCUUUGUGGGGUGAAAGAGGGUGAAACUCACUGACAAUGAAUAAAAUUAGGGUUUUAAGAAAAUUUAUAUAAAAGGGCAAUUUUGGUAUUAUAAAAAAAUUUUAAGAAAAUUUGGGUGUAACCAGAAAAACAUGGGGUGUAAAUAGAAAAACUCAAAAUAAAACUCCUUAUUUGUUUGAAAUAAUUUUUUAUUUUUUAUUUUUUAAAUUCUCUAUUUUUCGCCAAUUUUUUUUUUAUCUUUUGUUGAGAAAAACCCAAAUUCUUUCUUCUCUAGGUCGUGCACUUCUUCACCCGCCGCAACAUCCUGUCCACCACCCUCUGCCGCUCAAAACCAAACCCAACAAUGGCGAAAUCAUCAAAACGCAGCAUCGCCAACGGAACCAACACCUCCAACAAGAGCACCAGCAAGAAGAAGAAAAACAACAAGAUGGGUCCCGAAGCAGUAGCCAUGAAAGCAAAAGCUCAAAAAACGAACACCAAUCCAUUCGAGUCAAUCUGGUCACGUAGGAAAUUCGAAGUAAUGGGUCAGAAGCGUAAAGGAGAUACCAAACGAAUGGGGUUGGCUCGUUCUCUUGCUGUUGAGAAGAGGAAGAAGACGUUGCUUAAGGAGUAUGAGCAGAGUACUAAAUCGUCGGAGUUUAUUGAUAGACGAAUCGGUGAGAAUGAUGAAGGGCUUGAUGAUUUUGGUAAAGCUAUUUUGAGAUCGCAGCGGGAACGUCAGGUAACAACUUAUUGCUUAAGUGCUUAUCAUGAUAAGUGCUUAUGUAUAAGCUAUUUAUAUAGAAAAAGAUAAAUAGACUGAUUGGUAAAAAACAGUGAAUAGUGGACAAGUUAGCUAAUUGAAUUUGUAGUGUUUGGUAAAUUUAGCUGUUAGCUUAGGUUGAACUAGCUUAUAAAUAUGAAAUGACAUAGAUACAAAUAUUUAAUCAAUAUUUACUAUUUUUUCAAUUAAGGCUACAAGGGUAAAAGAGAUGAAAAUAGCUAUAAGCUACUUGAAUUAGCUUAUCAAAAAACACAAUAACCUAGUAAAGUUAAGCUAUAAACUCGUGUGUCAUGAUUACAAAACAAGUUUUUUUAGUCAAAUGAGCUUAUAACUUUAUAAGACAUAAGCUAGAAGCUCAAAAAUAUGUCUUGCCAAACAAACCCCGAGAGCCUGUUUGGAUUGGCUUAUUUGAGCCUAUCUACUAGUAAAAAUAGCUGCGAGACUAUGCGAGAGAAUUUAUGAAAACAACUUAUGACAUGUUCAUAAGCAUGUUUUCAGCUUAUUUCAAUAAGUUCUCCAAGAUAAAUUAUGAAAACAGUUAUAUCAUAUAUGAAAACAAAUUGACUUUAUUUUAUCUUGUAUAAUAGAAAUAGCUUAUUGAUAAGUGCAGCACUUAUGCUAUAAGCUUCAAACCAAGCUAUUUAUCCAAACAGGGUCAAAAUGAAGUUAUAUUGUUUUGUAUAAGCUAUAAGUUGUUUUCAUGAGAUAUCUUGGGGAACAGAUGAAAUAAGGUGAAGUUAGCUUAUGAACAAUGUCAUCAGUUGUUUCUAUAUGUUCUCCUAAACAGUCUCACAAAGUUUAUGCCAAUAUAUAAACUCAAAUAAGUAAAUUCAAACGGGUCCUAAAGGGUUUGUUUGAUUGUAUUUUUGUUUUUAGUUUUUAAAAUGACGAGCAUUAUCUGUCAACGUUUUGAGUUUAACGGGGAUGCACUUUCGAUCAAAAUCCAAUGAGAAUUUAUCUUGCGACACAAACCCACUUGUCUGCUUUGCAACCGAAGUUUGAAAAUAAAUACAAAAACUUGAUUCUCAUUGGGCAUUAGUAUAAAACAAGAAAGUAAGAAUUUUUCAGUUUUAAUUUUUUGAAAACUAAAAACUGUCUGAAAAGAGAAUUGAAAUAGUCUUUAAUUUUUGAAUUCUUGUCCUUGAAAAUUUUGUGAAUUAAUGAUUGUUUUAUGGUUGUUGAAAUUGUAGUUGAAUGUGAAAUCGAGUAAGAAAAGCAAGUAUCACUUGUCAGAAGAAGAUGAUGACGAGUUUGAAGGAAUUGAUGGUCUUGGAAGGGAUGACUUUGAAGAUGAGAUGCUUGGGGAAGAUGAUGAUGAAACUGAUGGUACAUAGAAUUCAUAUUAGUUUCUGUUUACCUAGUAUAACAUGUUAAUGGUGUAUUUGCUGAUUGGAACUUGGGUGUUUUGAACUCUAAUUAGCUAUUGCAUGCCUGAUAAUUUGAUAAUUAACUUGGAUGAUUAAUUAGCUAUUGAACUCUGCAUACCAUGUUUAUACUGUUUGUUUUAGCUGUCUUCUAUUUUGCUCUAUCUUGAAGUUUUAUUAGUGUGCCUGUUGUGUUAUUUUUGUGACGUAACGUAUGUUAUGUUGAAUAUUGAUUUUGCUGAUAUUUCAGAUUUGGGUCGGCGUCAUAAUGCUCAUGGUAUGCAGAGUCCAGGGGAAGCUGCUGACAAUGGGGAAAAUGUGAGGCCUGUUAUGCUGUCAAUGAUGGCUCCCUUACUAUUUUCUUAUAUAUCUUUUUCUUCUAUUACUGUGACUAUAGGGAAGCAUUAUGAACCAUGGAUGCUUUCUGUAAUCUACCAGUUAUUUCUGUUUCAGUGACUAUAGGGAAUCUUGUCUUGAUAUCAAUUCCUUUUUAAACUUUUCACAAAUAUCACUUUAUUUAAAAUGCUUUGAAGCUGUUUCUGACUGGUGACUUAUCCUACAGAGACAUAAAACCAAGAAGGAAGUGAUGAACGAAGUUAUUGCAAAAAGCAAGUUUUACAAGGUGUGUGAUAUUUCUUAAAUCAGGGCUCUGUUAGUUUAUUUGUCUUCUACAACUUGUUCACUUUCUUUUCUUUCACUCUAAUAUUUUCCAGGCUGAAAAAGCAAAAGAAAAGGAAAAAGAUGAAGACCUGCUGGAAGAAUUAGAUAAGGACUUCACUUCUCUGGCUCAUUCCGAGGCCUUGUUGGCUCUGACUGAACCACACAAGAUGAAAGCUUUGAAGGCUCUGGUGAACAGUAGUAUUUCAAAUGAAAAAAGUGAUAAAGAUAGCUUGUCUGCUAAACGGACAAUGAAUAAUUCUGUUCAGGUACCAUUAUUUAUCCUCGAGGGUCUUCUUGCCCUGAUAUCUUCUUUUAAUAAGAACAUUCUAUAUUCCAACUUUCUCUUUAUGGCAGGAAAAGCCUGAUGAUUAUGACCAACUUGUCAGACAAAUGGGAUUUGAAAUGCGUGCUCGCCCUUCAGAUAGGCUGAAGACUAAGGAAGAGAUUGAUCAGGAGGAAAGAGAACAUCUAGAGGAGUUGGAGGUAUGAUAACAUGACUUUUAGCUAUAAGUUUGUUAUUAUACAAUUAAUAAAUUACUUUUAGUAUUUUAUCACAUUUUUUAAACAUUAACUGAUCUCCAAUCUUGGUUGUAUAUCCGAGCUUCGUUUUAAGAUGGUUUAGAUCACUUGUUCUGGCCAAACUGUAUAGACUGGGAUGAACCCAAAACUACCUAGCUUAAUGCUGGAUUGAUGUUCAUAUUUUAAUGUAAUAUGUAUAGUGUACUAAUGUUGACAAUGAGUGAGCCUUGGCAAUGCCAUCACUUGUAAGGUUGUUGGCUUGUAACCCUGUGGUUCUUGGUGAUAGUCAUGGAAAUGGGAUCUCUGCACAUGAGUGUAAAAUUGUGGAAAUACUUAUUUGUAACGAGUCAGAUACUUAAUACUUUUAUCCAUAAUUUCAGAAAAAACGGCAGAAGAGAAUGACCGCUGCUGAAGAUUCGAGUGAGGAAGACAAUGAAGAAUCAGAAAAGCCAUCAAAAGAGAAACCAAGAUCUCUCUCUGGUGAUGACCUUGGUGAUUCCUUCUCUGUCGAUGAAGAAACUAUGACUAAAAAGGGUUGGGUUGAUGAGAUUCUUGAGAGAAGAGACGAGGAGGAGGGUUCUUCUAGUGAAGAUGAUGAUGGUGAAGAUAAUGAUGAUUAGGAAAGGUCUGAAGAUUCUGAUGAAGAAUCAGAGGAUGAUCUUGAUGAAAACGAUAAGAAUACUACUUUGAAAGAUUGGGAACAGAGUGAUGAUGAUGAUAUCAGUGCAGGUUCAGAAGAUGAAGAUGAUAUCAGUGUUGGUUCAGAAGACGAAGAUGAGGACGAAGAAAGAGCUGCGGAAGAAGUUGAUAAGGUAAAAGGAUUGAAUGUUGGUAUUCAUAAAAA
rnacentral:lncRNA from 1 species